GAAGAUUUUGGGCAGUUGGACGAGUGGAUCUGAGAGCAGGAUUGGCAGCCGUCACUGGCUUUGGGCUCUUGUGUGGUGGCGUUAGUGGUGGCACUUUGACUUCUUUGGCUUAACCCUGUUGUUUACUCCAGGUGCAUGAACCCAUGAGAAAGGGAGAAGUCCUCAGGUGGCAGCAUCCUCCCCAGCAAGUUCUGUUCUAGCUGUCUGCCUUACCUCCGCUCUGGAGCCAGUGCCUGUGAAGAAUGACCUCACGGGGUGCUGGGACGGCUCUCUCAAGGAAGAACUACAGGCUGAGCACUGGGCCAGAGAAGUCCAAGGUUGCAGGGGUUUGGUUUUGCUUUUAAAUUGGAUCCCCACUUUCAAAUUUGAAGUUACUUUAUCUGAAAGUAGUACAGCAGGGCUCCUGAAGAUGUCGUCUCACCCUGGGGAACCACUGGUAGCGGGCACCACUGGUAGCCUCCCCUGUUGAAGAAAUGCACUCGCUCCACGUUGCAGGGCUCUAAGGCUGUUAGUGAAGAGAGCGUGAAGGAUUGUGAACAGCAGGCUACUGGAUGACUAUCUGAUCGGGUCUUCUCCAGUGCUGAUGGGAACCAACCUGCAGCUGCUUACAGAAAGCUCCUGACAUUCCAGAACCUGCAGGAGCACCUCGACCGGUUGCUAGCAGAGGAGAAUGGCUCUGAAGACAGCCAAGGUGAUUGGCCACAGUAACUUGGACUCUAUCAGGACUACAGCGUGCGCGUACAAAGGUAAGAAGAUAAGUGGGUGAUGCUUUGGUUAAGAUCCCAGGAAGAAUGCAUGGAGAGUUACACAAGUGAUUUGGAAGUGUAAUGUAGCAGCGCUCUUUUUCUAACCCAAAUGUUAGUAGGGAAUGGAGACAAAGAUCACAGGCCACGGGCAGAUCACGUCUGCUGUCAGCUACGCUCCCUGUCUACCGGUCUCCCCCAUGAAGCUGCUCUUGCAGUGAGAGGGAUCCUUUGUGCUCGUCCCCAUCUGAGCCUCCUCUUUGAUACUGUGAUGCAGGAAAGAAUUGGAGAUAUGCCAGAUUCCUAUGCGUGUAAUGGCAACAGGGUAUGCAAGUGAUCACUACCAACUAUGGCAAAGUGAGUACUGUCCUUCCAGGAAGGGAAAAGAAAGCAGGUACAUUCUGCUCACUGGAUUCUUGCGGGCCCUGUGGAAAGCAUUUGAUCUGAGCUUCCUGCUUCAGUCUGCUCUUGGGGAGGCUGUGUGCCAGCACUGAUUUGUACCUGAAGGGUAUGGAACACCCUGUGUGGGUGCUUUGUUUGGCAGGCUGAUUCCCAGCACAGUGCUGUGGGUGAUGAGUGAAAGGCUCUGGUUCUUUGUAGCGCAUCAGAGGAUGAUGCAGUGUUGGGAUAAGCAUUGUUCUGAUCCUGUGCAUGUUCCUAGUGCUCAAAAAAGAAAAAAGAAAAUCCCAUCCAGAGGCUUCCAGAAGUGUCUGAAAAUGCAAUUUGUGGGCUGCAGGAGACAUCGUCAGCUGUCUGGUAGACCUUAAGGAAAGCACUAUUGCUUUCUGCCUAAAUGGCAUAUCUCUGGGAACCACUUUUGAUAACAUCUUGAGAGGUGCUGAAGUGCCAUCAGUCUGUUGCUUUUAACUUUGGAAGCCGUCCACUUCGAUAUCCUUUGGUUGUGGGGAGAGGAGGAGGGGAAGCUGGUGGAGAAGGAUGCAUCCAUGUGGCAGCUGCAGGGAGAACUCACAGUGCUGAUUACAUUAGCCCACAUCUUCAAUUAUUUCUCCCCUCUUAUGGAAUAUGAAGUGCACAAGUGCCUCAAGCAGCUACUAAUGUCACUGCUGCAGGCCUGCAGGUUCUCUCCUAUCAUCCCAGACCUAGGAUUACAAAUUCACUACCUCCAGCUCACCAUUGCAGUCUUGAAGCAUGAGAAAUCCAGGAAAUAUCUCCUCAGCAAUGUUCUCUAUCCUUUGUGCCUCCUCUGUUCUCUGUCCUCCCUGCCCUCAAUAAUGCAGCCGAGGAGACUGCAAGGAUUAGCAGGUCCCGGGAGGCAGAAGCCACUCCAUCUUUGAGAGCUUUGAUGUGCUCCGUUUGGUUGUAUUUUUCUACAUUAAGAGCCCAUUGCAUGUGGAGGAGGCUGGUUUGCAGGAGCUCAUUCCCACCACGUGGUGGCCGAACCGCUUCACCAAGGAGGGCAAGAAGAGUAAGGAGGUCAAGGAGGAGAGUGCUGAAGAAAGACUGAGGCAGUGGGCGUAUGAAAGAGGCUGCCAGCAGCUCGAGAAGCGCAUUGAAGAUCUGUGAGGAAGGAGAGAGAUUGGCAAGAUCCCAUUCUUCGUGUGCAGCCAGAGGGAUCAACCCAUGAGCUGUUUCCAAAUCACCUUCCUGAUGUGACAUGCGGCUGUGUUCCCAUCACAAAGGCUGCACUGCAAAGGCAGAGCCAUGGCCGCUGUCACCUGGUGGAUGGGUUCAAGUGUUGGGUCCCCACUGCCCACAUACGCAGCAUUCUGCCAGGCAUUAUGAGCAAAGCAAAACCCACCUUUAGGGGCAUUGUUUCUCAGCUGGGGAUGGAUUUAUUGCUGUAUGGAAAAGGAGAAAAUUCUCCUUAUCUCUGCAUACCAGGACACACGGGUGCCCCAGCAAUGGUGGUAACUGGGUCAACUGUUUUCUCCUGCUGACCGUAGCUCCCAAGCAUAUGCAGCUCUGUUUCUCAGCAGCUUUGCACCCCACGAGGACUCAGGCAUCGCUGCAGGCCCAGACCUUGUUGCAGACGUUCUGGGUACCUACUGAUGUAGCGUAACACUGCCUAGUUAAUAUGGAAAAAAAUACAGUGCCCUUAUACCUUAUGUGCCCAAAGCCCAGAUGCGUCCCUGAGCAAGCAUGAGAGAGAUGGACAAUUAAUGCCUUUCCCUGGGAGGUCACCACCUGCUUUUCCUCCUGACAGAGGGAGGCAUCCAGAUACAUCUUCCUGAACAAAUGCCACAAGUUUCUUCAGGAAAAUGCUAGCUAUAGAGGGGUAAGUCAGGGACAGCCUUCCUACAGGCCUCACCUGUAGAGCUCUCUGGUACCUUUGGGGUGGGAGCUCUCGCCCAUUUGGCUGAGCUGCUUCCAGCAGAUGAACAAUUGACACCUAGAUACAGCAUCGUCCCCACCACCUGGGUGAGGACCACUCUUCUGGCCUUGGAUCAGGCUGAUGGCCUGCAGCUAAGGAAGGUGGGGAUAUGUUAUUGCAGGAAACCCUUUCCUCACCUGCCUCUGUGUGUUAACGAGCAGCCCAUCUUCAGUGGUGGAACACAUGGUAUCCAUCCUCCUCUGUCAGAGCAGCUUGUUAUUGUAGGGCCAGGGAUUUUACAGAGGUGGAAGCAGCUAACUGCUGUCAGGGCUGGGCUGCAUCCCAGUGCUGGAAACUAGAGGUGCUCUUUGCAAAUGCGUGCAUGUGCUCUGAGCAAGACUGAGAACAGGAAGUUUCUGCCUGGCCCAUGUGGCCACCAGAACUAAGAAGCACAUUCGCAGCUGCUCUAAUGGAUGAACUCUCACUGUUGCCCUAGCACUUGACUGUGUUGUGCCCACCAGAGUACAUGGUAUGCUUCCAGCACCAGCUCAUUGCAGCCCUGCGUUUCUUCUGGGAUGGCCACAAGGCAAAGAUACCUGUUGCACUGAGCAGUGAAGGCAUAUGUCCCUCCCCAACUCUUCUAUAAUGGGAAGGUGGAUUAUUUUGACCUUCAGUGACUCAGAGGUCUUCCGUCUCAUCUCAAGAAGACUCUGAAAGGUAAGCGCUCUCACUUCCAGCAGCUUUACCACAGGUCCUGACUGAAGUUCAACCAAGAGACGUCCCAGCGAGGGAGCUGUGGGUAAUGAAAUGUGAUUAAAUGUAAGGAGAGGAGACUUGAAUUUUAAUGAGAUGCAAAUUAUUCUAGAGAAGGCAGCAUCCCUCUGGGCUGGAGUAUCCUUUAAGUUAACAGCUUACUCUUCAUAUCCCCAACUGGGAUACUAAUUUGUCUUCUGCUAAUUGCAGGCUCUGUCCUGAGUGUUUAGUUAGAAAUUUUUUUUUCUGAACUCCUGUUCUGAUUUUUCUUGCUGUGCUUUUAUUCUCUGCUCCAAGCUCAUUAUGGUGUGUGGUGGGGACAGCGGAGACGUGCUGAGCAGAGUCAGGUCUCAGUCCCUCUUUUUCUAAGAACUCUGACAGACGUCAUCAAUGGCCUCAAGCAUUUCCAGAGUGUACAAAAGCAGCAAUCUGUAGAAAGAAAAAAAAUUAAAGAAACCUUAAGAUCAUUUCUUUCUAGACUCCAAUCUCAAACUGCUCUUUCUUAAAAGCAACUCAUACGUAUCCUUGUAUGCUUUCUUCAAUCUCAUUUACAGUGCAGUAGUAAAAGCCAUCAGACUUU